UUCUACCAAGCCUCACGGAGGCUGCAGAGAAGCACAUGAGGAGGCCCUGGCUCCUCUACCCAGCCACAGAGCCAGCCUUGCUCCCAGCACAGCAGUCCUGGCCCACAGCAAGCAAUGGGAGCACCAAAUGCAAUGGUCUACUUCAAUCUCCCAGUUAUCUGCAGCAGCCUGCUCAUGAGGAAUAUAUUAUUCACAAGCUAUGGCUUAAGAACCAUUGCUUAAACUGUGAUGAGAGCUGCAGUCUCAGUUGUGGGUGGUUGCUUAGACAGUCAUCCAAGUAACAAGAAUCUCUCCAGCUCGGGAAACAAUCUAAAGGACUAUUGAAGUGACCCGACAGCAAUCCCUGCCAUCCCACAGUCCAGAGCUGUCCACAAGAAAACUCCUUUGGAUUUUGGAUCAGACUUCUGCUUUCUCCAGUCCUUUGUUUUCUUACACAGCAAGAGCACACUGUGAUCAGACAAGAUGAGAGCUUUCUCCUCAGUGUGGUAAUGCACCCCAGCCUGACCUGCAGCUCCCCCUGCCAAGCCAGGACUGGGCUUGGCAGUAGUGCAGGCUGCCAAGUGCCAUCACGCCCAAACAGUUGGGACCUGCGUGAGGUGUGCAGGGGGAGUGAAUGAAGAAAUGGAGAUGAGGGAGUAAGCUGACAUCCCCCAGGUUCAGCUGUGUAUUAUCCAUAUGCCCAUGAGAAAGCAAGGCUUACUAAUUACUCAAGAAAAGCCAAUAUCAUACAUAUUUUUUAAAUAGACAGGUCCAAGAACACUCCUUAAAAUACACUGGGAGCAAGAAUUGGGUUAAGAAAAUCAGAGUUUUCCUAAGCUGAGCUCUAGUUCCUCAAAAUAAUUUGAGUGUUUUAGUUUUUCAUGAGAGAAGGUAAAAAUAUUCCACAUUCAGAAACUGGGGAUUUCUUGACAGAUUAACUCCUCAUCUGCAAGUUUCUCCAUUCAAAAGGUAUUUGCAGAACAUGAAAAGGGAAGAUGGGAAAUUGAAAUAACUCUCAGGAAGCUUGCAAGACAAUUAUCACUCCCAUUUAAGAUUUUGGCCAAAAAGCAGAAAAAUCACUUUUUCCAAUCACCCUCAGGUAUAUUAAGAGAUUGACCUGUAAACCCAGAGAUGGACGUUCAGUUAGACUGAUGCAUAAAAUGCACUUUUGCCUUAAAACAGGGUGAGACUCUCUACCAGGUAUAAUUUAAACCUACUUCUACAAUAUAUGAAAGGUGAAGGAAGACAAGGGUGAAAACCUUAGGCUAAAUAUCUUGCUUCUGUAUCUCAAAACUCAGCCUUUCUAUUGUAUAGAGCAAGCCCGGCCUCCUUUGAGUCACCUGAAUUAUCCCAGAUGUGCAACCAUGUGACGGAAAGUCCAAAUCAUUGCCCAGAGGAGCACUUGCUGUUUCCCCUCAAGUAGGUUCCUGACUGAUAUAUUUCCCCUCUGGGCAAAGAUUAAACAGACUCAUCAGGUGUUCCCGAGAGCCCUCGGUGACAAAUGAGCCUCCAAGAGGAUGAGCAAGCUCACAUCUUCCCUUCAUCCAACAACAGAAACCUCCUUUCCAGGCAAUUGCCCUGUUGCUUUCCGGGCUCUCCUCAGAGAGGUGCCUGAAAUGACUGCAAACUAUUGCAUCAACACUGUGCCAUUCUUUCCCAUGCAUAUCUAAGUACAGCCUAUCCCCUUUGUAACGUUUUGUCAUUCCAUUGAACCAAAAAUACAAAUAAUAGGGAGAGGGAAACCAUCCAACAACCUCACUUUCAGCUUCCUGAGUCAUUUAGCCUCAACUUGAAUUUUAACUACACAGUCAGACAGCAGCACUAGCUGUUACAUCAGGGCUUUGGAAGCAAAGGGAAGGGAGGAGGUGAAGCAAGCCCAGGAGACAGCCAAGAGGAAAACAUCUUUAAAGCUCCCCUGAAUCAGUGACACUUACCUGUUUGUUCUGUUCUAUGCCUCUGGGUUUCUCUGAAAUGGAGAAGAGUAAUUAUGAAGUGACCCACUUUCCUCCUGUUUAGCGUAAAGAGGAAAUGGGGGGAAGGGGAAGAAGGGGAGGAGAGGGAGAGUUGCAGAAGGAGAAUAUCAAAGGGGAGAGAGAGGAAAAGAAACUUGCAGAAGGUAGGAGGGUAAAUUGUGAUGACCCAGUUUAAAGGAAGAGCAGGAACUAGACCUACUAACAGUCAACACCUUCCCACACACUCCAAGGAAAGGAAACAGCAAGGGAGAGGAACAAACCUAUUGCUCAUAACACUUUUUUGUGCUACA